ACCUAAUGACACUGAUAUUAAAUUUAUUUUUUCAUUUUUACGAUCUACUGCUUAAAUUUUGAAAAUUUUCAAAACUAUUUUUGUUAUUUCAGUUUUAUUUUUUAACAUCCUUUACAAUAGUUUUCUCUAAGAACAGAAUAUGAUGUAAUAAGUAAUUUUGAUUUUGUUUGAUAAAUUUUAAAAUUUUAUACUAUAAGAUAUAAAAAAGCUGAUAUUUUAAUAAAGCUUUCGGUAAGAUGGUAGCUUACUGAUUGUGGAGCGUCGCGUCGCAUCGAAUACUCCUGCCGACGAUUGUAGCGGCCGAUUCUAAACUGCCGGAUUAUAUCCAACGGAAACGGCCGAUAUGUAGCCUGAGAAUGGAAAUACAUGAAAAUUUUUUUCCCGACUGUACUAACGGGUUGUUGUCGGCGAAUUUCUGGUUUUUGAGCAUUUUUUUUUUUCUCUUUUUUUGUUUUGUUUUUGGGCCCUCGCGAAUAUAGCGAACGCGGCUUCCGACUGCUCCUUCGAAACCGGCGUUUCCAUGGAAUUUCGACCUCCGAAAAACGGGUUUCUGUCCCGUUUGGGAGCGGGCUUUUUCGGGCCCGCAGGAAUGGCGGACGCGGCCCCCGACAGUUCCUUCGGACCCCAGAACCGGCGUUUCCGCGGAUUUCUUACCGCCGAAAGCCCGGGUUGUGUGCCCGUCUGGACUCAUGCACGCAAAAGAUCCGGCCGCAACAGCGGAUCGCGGCGUGGCGCGCAAUCGGCAAGAACUGGGCCAGAGAGAGGCCCGGAUUGCGCAUGCGCCACAGACGGCCUGAACGACGCAUAGGCCGACUGAAAUAGCUGCUCUGAAGAGAUACUGUCAAGCAGUCCAAAUGGCGGAGUAGGUUAGGUGACGGGACGGCAUAGCCGAGGCUAGACAUAAGGGAUUUUUUCCAUGCAUAGUUGCGCGGCAGAUGGCAAACUCGGAGCUGGAGAAUGAGGUACGGGGGUGAUGGGGAGAUGUUAGGGCGCAAUGUCAGGAUGCAACAUCGCAGGAGGGUGCCGUGCGGGAG
rnacentral:lncRNA from 1 species